AGGGGAUCAAGGUGUUUGAGAGUGUGAGCUGGAAAGUGAGCUGCGUGCAGAGGCUCUAUGUGUUUGAAGGUGUGAGUUGGAAGCAGACGUUACAACCAAAGCAAGGUUUCUCAAACAACUGUGUGUUUGUUGUGAUGUAUGCUCUGUACAUUGCAAUGGAGCACAGUGUGAUUUCACUGAGCAAAUUAGGCGAUGGUGGUGCCUAGUUCUCCUGCAGAACUUUCCCCAUGCCGUAAGUCUUGAACAUCCAUGCCGUCUGAAGAAGAGAGGUUGAAAGAACGAAAACAAAACACUACAGGAUGAUGUAGAAGAUGUCCCCCCCAAGAAGUCACAGCAUGUCACAUUAGCAUCCAGCUCUGCAGGAUCAGAUGAUAUUGAAAGCAAAAUGCACAGAGAACUGGGAGCUGUGAACUGGGAAGCAGAUGUUCUUCUAAGGGACACCCUAGAGGCAGCAAAGUGGUGCGAACUCCAAACACUUAAAGGCACUGUUUCCCUCCUUAGUAUAAUUGGGAUGGAUGGGGAAGACCGCAUUACAACCCUUAAAGAACUACGGUUGUAUGAUGGCCUGGAUGAAGAAGAAAAUAUUAUCCCCAAGGAACCCUUCAUGUUACAGAGAGAUUAUGAGAUGUUCUAUGUGGAGGCAGUUGACAACAAGAACAUUACUGUCUUUGCCUCUUGAGGAACAGGGUUGAAGCCAUUUUUGAGGAGUGGUCAAACCUUGUUUUUGUCUGCUGUGUUAAUUGUUUCAAUUGUUAAUUGUGUUAUGUUGUUUAGUAAAGAGGAUGUAGAGUCUCUGAACUCUUUACUGGAGGUGGUCUAACUUAAUGUACAAAGCACAUUCAGCUUGUCUAUAUGGUAUAGUCUGUCUCCAUUCUCAUGAGGAAAGUAAAUGGCAUUAUAAAUCAGGAUAGGUAGCAAGUGUGUGUGUGUGUAUAUAUAUAUACUCAAUUAAAUAAUAUAAUCACAAAGUUAUAACAUUUACCAACACAAUUUUAACAGUACAUAACAUGCAUAACAAGUAUGUUGUUCACUGCAACAAUAUCAGUAGCUUGUCUCAAAUAUUGCAUGAAGCUAAAAGUGUUACAACACAUUUGCUGGUACCACUCUAUAUAAUAUUUCUUACAAUCUUCAAAAAUGAAAUGCAUUUGUAAUUCAACGUGUGCCUUGCGCAAACGUGUGUGCUUUUGUAUUCAGUGUCUGACUGUUAAACCUCCAGAUUUUGGUUGGCCUCGAAUUGCACACUGCAGUCAGGGGUUCUUGACAGGCUUGACAGGCUCUGAGAUUAAAUACGGACAAUGACGUCGCGCUCCUAUUGCACAGCACUAGCCUACUGUAGCCUACCCUGAGGUGCCGUUUGGGGGGAGAAAUUAGGCCGAUUCUGGCAAAUGGAUGUUGCACCUCAAUUUAGCAAGGAACCCAGACGCCAGGACAGUGCAGCAAUGGUGUUUCUGGAACACAGUGUUUUUUUGGACACUAGGUUCCACACCACUGCAAAAAUGGUAGAAUAAUUUUCUGCUGUUCUGAAAGUUGGGCAGAUUUGUGACGAUAAAGUCCCUUCUGUGUGCCAACCACUGAUCAUGACGUAUUCCAGAGAUCUUACACCUGAGUUUCAUAAUGAAGUAAGACACCUGAACACUGUAUAUGCUGCCACUUUCCCCCCUAACUUGUCCCCUCUUGGUCUCCUGAAUGCACUUUAUAAAAUGCAACUGCAAAGCAUUUUUGUAGAAGUGUGCAUUGCUUUAUGUAUAUUUUUGCACACUGCCUGUGACUUGCUGGUGGCGAGAGAGCUUUCAGUAAGAUAAAACUGAUCAACUAUUUGUGGUCCACUAUGUCCCAGAACAGGCUUUGCAGUCUUGCCACACUGUCCAUUGAAAGUCAGUUAGCUAGAAAGCUGGACUUCAAAGACUUGAUCAGGGACUUUGAUAGCAAGAAGGCUCGGUGCUGGGCUCUUGGUGAGUAAGGCUGAGCAAGGGCCAGUGAUAACUGUUAAAUAGCAUGGCUAUGGAUAUUGGAUCACUACACACAUGAUGCCCACAGGCUGAGAACAAGAUAUGUCUCAAAGUAAUGGCUGGAUUUCCAUACAAUUUGUUGUGCACAAUCAAGACCCCAAGUGGAAGAAACCUAUUGAUUUGGUGACCUCUUGACCUUUUUCCUCUAGCGCCACCAUCAAGCAUUUUCAUUUCCACUUUGUUUUCCAUUUCCACUUUCACAGCUGAUUAUUUUCUAGUUGGUAUGUAUACUUAGUUCAGAA